rnacentral:rRNA from 1 species
UACAGAGGGGGGCGAGCGUUGUUCGGAAUUACUGGGCGUAAAGGGCGCGUAGGCGGCCUUCUAAGUCGAACGUGAAAUCCCCCGGGCUCAACCCAGGAACUGCGUCCGAUACUGGUUGGCUUGAAUCCGGGAGAGGGAUGUGGAAUUCCAGGUGUAGCGGUGAAAUGCGUAGAUAUCUGGAGGAACACCGGUGGCGAAGGCGACAUCCUGGACCAACACUGACGCUGAGGCACGAAAGCGUGGGGAGCAAACAGG